GCCGGGCGCGGUGGCGCGCGCCUGUAGUCCCAGCUACUCGGGAGGCUGAGGCAGGAGGAUCGCUUGAGCCCAGGAGUUCUGGGCUGUAGUGCGCUAUGCCGAUCGGGUGUCCGCACUAAGUUCGGCAUCAAUAUGGUGACCUCCCGGGAGUGGGGGACCACCAGGUUGCCUAAGGAGGGGUGAACCGGCCCAGGUCGGAAAGCUGUCAGUUACCAGACCCAUAAAAGGCUGAGAAUCAUUCAAGUUCCUACCAGCAACAUUAGAGUGUCCAAACUGGCCCCCU
rnacentral:SRP_RNA from 1 species